rnacentral:lncRNA from 1 species
UUUUUUUUCUUUUUUUGUCUUUUUGCCUUUUCUAGGGCCGCUCCCACGGCAUAUGGAGGUUCCCAGGCUAGGGGUCUAAUCGGAGCUGUAGCCUCCGGCCUUCGCCAGAGCCACAGCAACAUGGGAUCCAAGCUGUGUCUGCGACCUACACCACAGCUCAUGGCAACGCUGGAUCCAUAACCCACUGAGCAAGGCUAGGGAUCAACCCUGCAACCUCAAGGUUUCUAGUCAGAUUUGUUAACCACUGUGCCACGAUGGGAACUCCUUAUUAUUUGGGCAUGACCUUUUUUUUUUCUUUUUAGGGCCACACCCACAGCAUAUGGAAGUUCCCACAUUAGGAGGUGAAUUGGAGCUGAGCCACAGAAAUGCGGAAUCCCCAACCCACUGAAUGAGGCGAGGGAUUGAACCUGUGUCCUCAUGGAUACUAGUUAGAUUCAUUACCACUGAGCCAUGACAGGAACUGGACUGGGCAUUUUAAUGACUGAAAUGAGAUGAUUUGGGGGCUGAAAUUAUUUGGAGGAUUUUUUUUAUAACCUUAGAGUGGCUUGAAAAGUGAAGAGACCUGCCUCAUUUCAUUCAUGGAGUAACAGACAGAUCGACCAUGGAGUUUGAGUAGAAUGGGGAGAAGAAGAAAGCUGUCCUUACAUGUACCUACUUGAAUUCGUCCUGGUGGAAGGGCAGUAUUCAGUAAAAGUUGCUUUUCACCUGAUGAUGCUUGUGAUUAUUUUAGUUAACCCUGUGACUGAAUAAACCCACACCACCCUUCACAAUGGGGUCAGUGUACAGUUUCAGGGAAACAGAGAAAUCAUUCCAGCAAUUAUGAAUAAAAAGGGAUUCAAUACAGGUAAUUAUGAACUUGCAAAAUCAUUGGAGAGCAGGAGGAGCAGCCUCUAAACUGAGUCUCCAGAAAUAAUUGCCAGGAGAUAACCAUCAAAUGAUAUCCCACAGAGCUGCCGCCUGUGCCAGUCAUAAAUGUGUGAAAUCAAGAGUCUGUUGGGGAAACACUGAAUUCCUGCACACACUGCUAUAGUCGCAAUCUGGAGAUUGUUAAGACACUGUCGUCUGUGUAGCCACUAACUCCUAACACCCUUGAAGCUGGAUACUGGCCAUUGGGAUGCUAUUGCACAAAAACCCGAUGGCUGCAUGACCCUGCUUGGUUGCAGCAAUGAACAUCAGAGCAGGCUGCUGGCCCUGGUCUCAUACCUGCCUCUCUCAUCUCUUGAGUAUAUUUAGUGCACAGUCAGAGCAUUAGUGGGGAAGGAGUCAUAGAAAUGUAAGUUGGAGCUUUUCAAUCUUUGCAAUACAAGAAGGUACCAUAGAAGGUGGUUGGAAUGGAUGUUAAAAGCUAAUGUUUCAUGUUCACCACAGUGAUUCCAUGCAUAGGAAAUGAUGUGUAUGCCAGUGGCCGCAGCCUCUGUCUAGAGGACCAAAUACUGGAUUCACUUGGGUUUUUCGAAAAUCAACUUUUGUGGUACACUUUACAUAUAGUGAAAUGCACCUACUUUAAGUGUAUAUUCAGUGAGUUUAACAAAUACAAUGCAAAUGUAAUCAAUACCAUCAUCAAGAUGUAAAAAUCAUUCCAAAAAUUUUUCACGUCUCUGCAGCCAACCCCUACUUUCCCUUCCCCAAGCAACUAGUGAUCUGCUUUCUAUCUCUAUAGACUAGUUUUCCCCCAUUCUAGAGUUUCGUAUAAAUAAAACCAUACAGUAGGAUACAGCUGUUUUUAAUAUUUGCAAAUAGUUUUUUCCUUGCCAAGAAUCCAUCAUGGCAUAGCAGAAUAAGUGGGAUUUUUGAAUUUAGACAAACUCAGGGUUGAAUCCCAACUCUCCUACCUAACGUCUCUCAACCUCGUUCAAAAAAGUUGAACUUGCUGAGCCCAGAUUUCUUAACUGUAAAACAGUAAUUUAGAACAAAAAUAAAAAAAAAAGCACCUGAAGGUUAGAGCUAAUAAAUGAAAAGCACACAAAUAGCACACCAGGAAAGGUAAUUACCAUUAUUCUUCUUGAUGAUGGCUUAUUAUUUUCUGCGUAUGCUGGUUUUCCAGUCAAUUGCACUUAAACCAUAGUGCUUUUCUGAAGAAUUUUAUCACUUUCCCAUGCGACACCAUAACAGCAAUUAGAAGCUAUUCUUUGGAGCAUCACGUUGCUUCACAUCUGAGUUCUACUACUUGCUAUGUAUCCUCAUGAAAAUUCUGAAUCUUGCUGUGCCUCAGAUUUCUUUUCUGUAAAAUGGGAAUAGUAAUAAUACCUAGAAUUGUUAUAGGAAUUAAAUAAUACACAUCACCUUAGUAAAUACUCAAAAUGGUUAGCUAUUGUUAAUAUCAUUGCUAUUUCAUGUUGAAAUUUCCCCGAGAUGCCUCAGAGUGGAUUCUGUCUCUAUAGCCUCACUCUAGCUCCACCCCCACCCACUCCCAAGAGAAGUAACACUCUCUUUUCUGGCAAUUAAAAUUUCCUAUUUUAGCCUCCAGGAACCUCUCCCUCCUACGAAAUACAUGUGUGCCUUCUCAUUUGGUACAUAUUUCAGGCUCUGUAUUAUCUUUGAAGUAUAGAAUGCUUGGAAUAGAGAAAAUGGUUCACUCAAACCCUCUCAUUUUACAGCUGGUGUAAUAGAGGUCCAAUAAAGAUGAAUUAUUUAUCAGGGUCUUAUCUUUAGAACAUAAACUGGGCGAGAACUUGGGCUCCAAACUCUCAGUCCUGUGUCUACAACAUGAUUUAAAGUGCUUAGCACAUAAUACUCAGUAGUCUACUGGUUUUAUUGUUUGAAUUCUUAUAUGUCAUGCUAAGUUGAUUUCUAGAGCCAACUCCAAGGACUUUUCUUGUCACAAUGCCUAAGCUCUCGUCACUCCCUGAGAUUAAAGAAAUGAUUCUCAGCCUUGUCAAAUUAUAAUCACAAAGUUUAUCAGGAAAAUUAUCUGAAAAUUGCCAUGAAUAUUACAUAGUGUGUGAUGGAUAUGCUGCUUUGAAGGAUAUGCUGCAUAGAUUUUAUGUGGCAGAUAUAAAUCCUGCUGAUGUUGUGAUGCCAGUUCUUUAGUGACUAGGCAGCAAUGUAUUAAGUCUUGCUCUAUAGCUGCAAACAAAGUGCUUUUUACCACCAGUUCAGUCUUGGGGUAAAUAUUUUAAAAGACAUUGCAAUGCUUUCUACAGCCCAGUGAGAUAAAAGCUCUUAUACUAAACCCACACAAGGCAAACACAAUUGGAUAAAAAGUAAAAUACAGCAAACCACUGCUGUAUUUGUGUGCAAAAUAACAGUUAUAUGGCUUCCCUCAGGCUGAAGAGCUAAAACUGUCACCUCCAGCAGUGUGAUUCUGCUUCCAUGCCACCAGGGAUCUAGGUGGGAAGGAAUUUCAAUAUGCAUAUCCUGGGAAGGAGGCAGAAGAGAGGAAGAGUGGGAGAGUUAGGAACGAUGCCUCCUUUUAUGAGAAAGUUGAAUAUCUCUUUGGUAUUUCUCUCACAAUUUUUAAAAUGCUUUGUACUGGGUGUUCCCAAGAUCACUCCCAGUGAUUUGACAAAAGAUCUCUUAGAACUCAAUGUCUUAUAUGUACUCAUAGCUAAGAUUUAGUACCAUGAAAAGAUACAAAGCAAAGUCAGAAAAGGGAAAAGAUGUGUGGGGAGAAAUUGGGAGAAAAGUCUUCUCCUGACCCAGUGGAUCCCUUCCUUCAGCAAUGAGUUGUGAGCAAGGUAUUGUCUCCUGUGGCAGCUCAUUAGUGACUUGUUGCUCAAGGUUUUUACAGGAGGCUGGUCAAAUAGGCACUCUCUUCCCAUCACAUACCCAAAUUCCAAAUCCCAGAAGAAAAGCAGAUGUCAGCAUAAAGCAUACCAUGCACACAGUCUAGCUCUAGUGAGCCACCCUUGUCAUUUAGGGAAAGUUUUCUACCAGUGCAGGGAAGUUUACUAGCUAAGUUCCCAGAUGACAGCCAAGGGCCAAUCUUGCAAGCAGACAUUUCUAAGGAAAGUAGUCCCAGGCUUAGGCUUGCUAUACUAAUUCUUUUUUGCACACACUAUUUUCUUCAUUCAGGCAUGCAGACAACUCUUGUAGUCCCAUUUGAAAUAAGUCAUCUGUAGCAGAGUUUACAUGGUCCAUCUAAAGUCAUAUCUUAUAUAUCUUGGUUUGUUUGUUGUUUGUUUUUGCUUUUUUAGGGCCACACUUGUGGCAUAUGGAAAUUCCCAGGCUAGGGGUCAGAUCAGAUCUGUAGCUGCUGGCCUGCACCAUAGCCACAGCAAUGCUGGAUCCAAGCCACGUCUGAGACAUAUACCACAGCUCAUAGCAAUGCUGGAUCCUUAACCCACUGAGCGAGGCCAGGGAUUGGACCUGCAUUCUCAUGGAUACUAGUCAGGUUCGUUAUGCUGAGCCACAAGGAGAACUCAAGUAAUAUUUUUUCUGGCUGGUAUUUGGAUUCUCAUUUCUUCUACACAUUGUCUUUAUGGGGUCAUCGAGAUGCUUUCUUUUUUUUUUUGGUCCUUUUUUGUCUUUUUAGGGCAUACAGAAUUUGCUAGGCUAGGGGUCCAAUCGGAGCUGUAGCCAUGGGCCUAUGCCACAGUCACAGGAACACGGGAUCCGAGCUGUCUCUGCAGCUCACAGCAACGCUGGAUCCUCAACCCUCUGAGCAAGACCAGGGAUCGAACCUACAUCCUCAUGGAUGCUUGUCAGGUUCAUUAACUGCUGAGCCAAGAUGGGAACUCCAAGAUGCUUUUUUACUUAUGUAUUUGAUUCCUGAGCUUGGAUGGCUAGUAUUCUGUCUAUGCAGGUUCACUUGAUCCAUAUCUUGGGCUUCCUUAUAAUGUGAUGGUUCCAGAUGCUUGGGCUCUUACAUAAUGGCUGACUUCUCUCAGAGAAAGUGUUCUAACUAAAGAGCAGGGCAGAAUCUUAGAACGUCAUUUCUAUUACACUUGUUAUUUAAGCAAGUUAUUAGGGCCAACCCAUAUUUAAGGAGAAGGGAAUUAUAUCCAAUAGCAGGAUAACAAAGACAUUACAACCAUCUUUAAUGAAUAUUUGCAGUCAGUAAUUUAUCUGAAUAUCUUUUAUCCAUUUUUAUUAUAGUUAUCUGUUUUAUUACUCCCACCAGACUGAAAAUUCUUAAGGGUAGGGACCCAGUCUGCAUUAGUUUCCAAUUUGUUGCAAUGUUAUAGAGCACUUUGCUUAUAGCACACAUUGUUUGUAAAUAAAUGCUAUUAAAGGCUUACUGCAUGCCAAGAACUAUACUAAGCUUUUAAAAUUUAUUAUAUUGUGUAAUCCUUACAAGAACUUUGUAAGGCAUUAUUUUUAUUUCCAUAUUUUAACUGGUUAAGAUGUCUGCCUAAGGGCAUAUAGCUAGUAUCAGGAUUUGAACGCAGACUGUCUCUAGAAUGUUUGCUAAAUCAUCAUGCUCUGGUGCUUUCAUCAAGUAGUGAAUUUUGCAUGAGGAGGAAAUCUCCAAAGAAUCCAAAUUAUGGUUGGUGUGCAAAAAGUUGGAGAGGUCUUAGGGGUGUGAGACCCUUUAUUGAGCUCCUUUUUUAAAUUUUUUGUCUUUUUGCCUUUUCUAGGGCCGCACCUGAGGCACAUGGAGGUUCCCAGGCUAGGGGUCUAAUUGGAGCUGUAGCCGCUGGCCUAUACCAGAGCCACAGCAACACCAGAUCCGAGCGGCAUCUGCAACCUACACCACAGCUCAGGGCAAUGCUGGAUCCUUAACCCACUGAGCAAGGCCAGGGAUCGAACCAGCAACCUCAUGGUUCCUAGUCAGAUUCCUUAACCACUGAGCCACGACAGGAACUCCAGCUCCUUUU